GUGUCAGCAGCCGCGGUAAUACAGAGGGUGCGAGCGUUAAUCGGAAUGACUGGGCGUAAAGGGUGUGUAGGUGGCUGGGUAAGUCAGAUGUGAAAGCCCCGGGCUUAACCUGGGAAUGGCCUUUGAUACUGCCGAGCUAGAGUUUUGUAGAGGGUGGCGGAAUUUCCGGUGUAGCGGUGAAAUGCGUAGAUAUCGGAAGGAACACCAGUGGCGAAAGCGGCUUCCUGGUCCAGCACCGACGUUCAGGCACGAAAGCGUGGGGAGCAAACAGGAUUAGAUACCCCAGUAGUCC
rnacentral:rRNA from 1 species